rnacentral:tRNA from 1 species
GCCUGGGUGGCUCAGUCAGUUAAGUGUCUGACUUCGGCUCUGGUCAUGAUCUCGUGGUUCGUGGGUUCAAGUCCCACAUUGGGCU